ensembl:lncRNA
GCUCAUCCACUCCCCCAGGCAGGAGUCUCAGGUUUUCCUCUGGCUAGCACGGCCCACCUCCCCAGGGUCUUUUGUAACUUUUGCACAGCCUAUCCCUUGCUCUCCAUACAAACUUCCAUACCCUCUCUGGGACCUUGUUUUUUCUGCUCCUUGUUGCCCAGGGCACUCCAUCUUUGAUGGUUGAAAUGCCGCUCAGUCCAAAUCCGUCCUCCACUGAGCUUUUCCCAUUGGCUCCAGCUGAAACAGUAUAUGUAUUUUUAAACUUUCAAAUCUCUCUCUUUUUUGUUCUUCUGAUUUUGCGUAUUUCAGUUAUGCUUUAGCACCUUAAGGAAAACAUCUCACCCCCACAAUGACUAAGCAGCUGAGAAAAUGGAAAGAACAGGGCUUCUCUCUAUACCUCUGUGCUCUCAUCUGGAAAAUGGAGAUAAACAUGAGAGCUCUUUUAUUUGGAGAUCUAAGCCACACAAAACCAGAAGAAGAGGAUGGCCGGCCCACUGGGGCACAGGGCCCGGCACAGAGGCCUUCAGACAGCAGGGCUGUGUUUCUUACCACCUCCUCCUGCUCCAGGCCCUCCCCGAGGCCAAGGUCUGUGGGACCCGUGGGAGAGGCUGGUGGGGUGGGAAUGUCUGCAUCCCAGACAUAGAUGAGGCUGCGGCUCUGGAUUUCUUAGAGGGCGGUGGUUUCCCCUGCAUCCUUUUGUGCCUUAGGUUUUGAAAGGGAGGCUUACGCUGCACUCAAGUUUCCUGCAACUGCAGUUUAACUCAGCGCAGGGUGACAGCUUGGAAGAGUGAGACCCUGGGCUGGCAUGGAGGGUGAAUCGAGGGCCUUGAUUCUAACAUGAGGAAUGUAAUGAAGAGGUACCAAGAACUGAGAUAUGGGGUCUAGCUUGGCAUCCUAGCUCUGCUCCUCACGGGCUCUGGGAUGUUUCCUCUCUGAACCUCUUUUCUGUGUCUGAAAAGUGGAGGGUGAUGGUUUCUCCUGGGGAGGGGUGGAGACAGGGUUCCCUGUCAGGUAAGCUUGGGGAGCUGGGUUUUGUCUUUUACCGCACUGAAGUCCUGUGUCUAGAACAGUGCCUGGCCUGUGGUAAGCACACAACAAAUGCCUAUUAGUGGAAGGCGAUACAGGCAUGCCUGGUUUUAUUAUGGUUUGCAGAUACUGCGUUUUUUUACAAAUUGAAGAUUUGUGGCAACUUUGCAUUUUCAGGUUUGACAAUUUUUUAGCACUACAGUUUUAAUUUUUUUUUAAUUGUGAUAAAAGUCACAUAAUAUAAAACCUGCUAUUUUAGCCAUAUUUAAAUGUGCAGUUCAGAGUACUAAGUACAGUCACAUUUUUGUACAACUCUCAUCAUCCAUAGCAGUAAAGCGUGUUUUAAUCAAGUCACCUACAUUUUUAAAUAUAAUUUUAUUUCUCUAUUUUUGGCUGUACUGGAUCUGCAUUACUGUGUGAGCUUUCUCUAGUUACAGAGAGCAGGGCUUCUCUUGGUUGAGGUGCGCGGGCUUCUCACCACGGUGGCUUCUCACAGGCUCCAGGUGCACAGGCUUCAGCAGUGGCAGUUCACUGACUCAGUUGUUCCGAGGCAGGUGGAGUCUUCCUGGACCAGGAAUCGAACGUGGUCCCCUGCAUUAGCAGGUGGAUUCUUAUCCAUUGUGCUCCCAGGGAAGUCCUGUGCUUUGUUUUUUAAACAUACAGCUAUUGAACAACUAAUACACUACAG